rnacentral:rRNA from 1 species
UACGUAGGGGGCAAGCGUUGUCCGGAAUCAUUGGGCGUAAAGAGCGCGUAGGCGGCCCGGUAAGUCCGUUGUGAAAGUCCAGGGCUCAACCCUGGAAUGCCGAUGGAUACUGCCGGGCUAGAGUUCGGAAGAGGCGAGUGGAAUUCCUGGUGUAGCGGUGGAAUGCGCAGAUAUCAGGAGGAACACCUAUAGCGAAGGCAGCUCGCUGGGACGACACUGACGCUGAGGCGCGAAAGCGUGGGGAGCAAACAGG